AGCAGCCGCGGUAAUUCCAGCUCCAAUAGCGUAUAUUAAAGUUGUUGCAGUUAAAAAGCUCGUAGUUGAAUUUCGAGAUCAGUACGCUGGUCGUGCCUUCGGUAUGCACUGGUGUCACUGGUUUCUCCCUUCUGAAGAACCGUCAUGUCAUUAAGUUGAUGUGGCGGGGAAUCAGGACUGUUACUUUGAAAAAAUUAGAGUGUUUAAAGCAGGCUCGCGCUUGAAUACAUUAGCAUGGAAUAAUGAAAUAGGACGUUUGACCCUAUUUUGUUGGUUUCUAGGAUCGACGUAAUGAUUAAUAGGGAUAGUUGGGGGCAUUAGUAUUCAAUUGUCAGAGGUGAAAUUCUUGGAUUUAUUGAAGACUAACUACUGCGAAAGCAUUUGCCAAGGAUGUUUUCAUUAAUCAAGAACGAAAGUUAGGGGAUCGAAGACGAUCAGAUACCGUCGUAGUCUUAACCAUAAACUAUGCCACUAGGGAUCG
rnacentral:rRNA from 1 species